rnacentral:rRNA from 1 species
AUUGAACGCUGGCGGCAUGCUUUACACAUGCAAGUCGAACGGCAGCACGGGGCAACCUGGUGGCGAGUGGCGAACGGGUGAGUAAUGCAUCGGAACGUACCUUUCAGUGGGGGAUAACGUAGCGAAAGUUACGCUAAUACCGCAUAUUCUGUGAGCGGGAAAGCAGGGGAUCGCAAGACCUUGCGCUGAUUGAGCGGCCGAUGUCAGAUUAGCUAGUUGGUGAGGUAAAGGCUCACCAAGGCGACGAUCUGUAGCGGGUCUGAGAGGAUGAUCCGCCACACUGGAACUGAGACACGGUCCAGACUCCUACGGGAGGCAGCAGUGGGGAAUUUUGGACAAUGGGGGCAACCCUGAUCCAGCCAUGCCGCGUGAGUGAAGAAGGCCUUCGGGUUGUAAAGCUCUUUCGGCCGGGAAGAAAUCGCACGGGCUAAUACCCUGUGCGGAUGACGGUACCGGAAUAAGAAGCACCGGCUAACUACGUGCCAGCCGCCGCCUAAAAC